UAAAAAUGUCGUAUGCGGUUUAAUCAAGUCUAGAUUCCUCAUUAGAAAAUGGGUAGUUUGGAUCCUGAAUGGAUACUGAAUGCUGAUUGGUUGAUACACAUUUGCAAUAAUAGACUGGUAAUACUGGUUAACAGUUCCAUUUGAAUUAUCCCAAAAGAUCCACUGUCCCACAGCCCAGCCAGGUAAUUUAUAAACUAAUCUCCACUGCCCCACAGCCCAGCCAGGUCAUUUAUAAACUACUCUCCACUGCCCCACAGCCCAGCCAGGUCAUUUAUAAACUAAUCUCCACUGUCCCACAGCCCAGCCAGGUCAUUUAUAAACUAAUCUCCACUGCCCCACAGCCCAGCCAGGUCAUUUAUAAACUAAUCUCCACUGUCCCACAGCCCAGCCAGGUAAUUUAUAAACUAAUCUCCACUGUCCCACAGCCCAGCCAGGUAAUUCAUAAACUAAUCUCCACUGUCCCACAGCCCAGCCAGGUAAUUCAUAAACUAAUCUCCACUGUCCCACAGCCCAGCCAGGCAAUUCAUAAACUAAUCUCCACUGUCCCACAGCCCAGCCAGGUAAUUCAUAAACUAAUCUCCACUGUCCCACAGCCCAGCCAGGUAAUUUAUAAACUAAUCUCCACUGUCCCACAGCCCAGCCAGGUAAUUCAUAAACUACUCUCCACUGUCCCACAGCCCAGCCAGGUAAUUCAUAAACUAAUCUCCACUGUCCCACAGCCCAGCCAGGCAAUUUAUAAACUAAUCUCCACUGUCCCACAGCCCAGCCAGGUAAUUCAUAAACUAAUCUCCACUGGAAGAAAAGCAUAUAAGCAU